UACGUAGGGUGCGAGCGUUAAUCGGAAUUACUGGGCGUAAAGCGCACGUAGGCGGUUUUUUAAGUCAGAUGUGAAAUCCCCGGGCUCAACCUGGGAACUGCUUUCAAAACUGCUGAGCUAGAGUACGGUAGAGGGUGGUGGAAUUUCCUGUGUAGCGGUGAAAUGCGUAGAUAUAGGAAGGAACACCAGUGGCGAAGGCGACCACCUGGACUGAUACUGACGCUCAUGCACGAAAGCGUGGGGAGCAAACAGG
rnacentral:rRNA from 1 species